CGGAGGGGCGCCGAGGCGCCGGCGGCGGGGAAGGGGGGGAAGGACGGGGGGAGGGGAGAGGGGGGGAGGGGGCGGGUGGGGAGAGAAGCAGCAGAGUCACUUCACCGACCAGACGCCGCGGCCACCGCCGACGCCGCCGCCAUUUUAACAGAGCGCUCGGGCUGCGCUCGGCUCUUUCCGCCCGGGCUUAGGAGCGGACGAGAGGCGCCUCGCGCUCUCAUUCCUCCGCCUCCCUCCCUUUCUCGCCUCUCCUCCGCCCCCCACCUCUCCCUCCGCACACACGCCGCACGCUCCACACCCCGCCGUGGCCGGCUCGCCGCCCUCCCUUUCCUCUUCCGUCCGGCCUCCCCGCCCUCGGUCCACCCCCUCCGCGCGCUCGCCCACCCCGCCCAGCCCGGAUCUCUGUCAGCGGCCGGAAGGGAAACGCGAAGCCAGCGCGGCCGCGGGGGGAGUCCGGGUAGCAGUUGAAACCAACCAUCAUGGUGAUCUGGCUUUUCUAGGGCUGGCCAUACAUAAUUGAGUUCCUCCUGAUAAAAGGUAAGCAACAAUCCUGAGAAACAUAGUGGGAGCCCUGUGUCUACAAAAAUUUAAAAGGUGGCUGGGCGCGUUGGCUCACUCCUGAAAUCCCGCACUUAGGGAGGCUGAGGUGAGCAAAUCACCUGAGGUCGGGAGCUCUAGACCGGCCUGACCAACAUGGACAAAGCUCAUCUCUGCUAAAAAUACAAAAUUAGGCAUGGUGGUGCAUGCCUGUAAUCCCAGCUACUCAGGAGGCUGAGGCAGGAGAAUCGCUUGAACCCGGGAGGCAGGGGUUGCGGUGAGCCGAGAUCGCGCCAUUGCACUCCAGCCUGGGAUAAGAGUGAAACUCCGUCUCAUAAAAAAAAAAAAAAAAAAAGGCCAGGCAUGGUGGUUCAUGCCUGUAAUCCCAGCGCUUUGGGAGGCCGAGGCGAGAAGAUCACUAAAUCAGGAGAUUGAGACCAUCCUGGCUAACACGGUGAAACCCCGUCUCUACUAAAAAUACAAAAAAUUAGCCAGGCAUGGUGGUGGGCGCCUGUAGUCCCAGCUACUUGGGAGGCUGAGGCAGGAGAAUGGCAUGAACCCAGGGAGCAAAGCUUGCAGUGAGCUGAGAUCGCGCCACUGCACUCCAGCCUGGGCGACACAGCAAGACUCCGUCUCAAAAAAAAAAAAAAAAAAUUACCUGGUCGUGGUGGCUCACGACUAUAAUCAUAGUACUUUGAGAGUCCAAGGCAGAUGGAUUGCUUGAGCCUGGGAGUUCUACAUCAACCUGGGCAACAUGGCAAAAGUCCAUCUCCAGUACAUAAGAAAAUUAGUGGAAUGUGGUGGUGCACACCUGUAAUCCCAGCUACUGGGGAGGCUGAGGUGGGAGGAUCACUAGAGCCCAGGAGAUUGAGACUGCAGUGAGCUGUGGUCAUACCACUGCAGUCUAGCCUGGGUGACAGAGUGAGACCCUCUCUGGAAAAAAAAAGAAAUGUAAGCAGAAAUCUGCAGGAUGGGUUCUUUGGGAAGAAUUCCCAAAAGAAUUCCUAAUACGAUGAGGGACAAAUUCAGCUAACAUACCAUUUAACCCUUUCUGCCUGAAACAUGGUCUUGAUGCACAAAGUAAUACCCAUCUUGUAAUUUUUUUAACAAUGAAAACUUUUACCCCAUUUGCGAUUUCAUUGUUUAAAAAAUUUGAUUAAACAGGCCGGGCACAGUGGCUCACGCCUGUAAUCCCAACACUUUGGGAGGCUGAGGCAGGUGGAUCACCUGAGGUCAGAGUUCAAGACCAGCCUUACCUACAUGCUGAAACCCCAUCUCUUCUAAAAAUAUAAAAAAUGAGCCGGGUGUGGUGGCGGGCACUUUGUAAUCCCAGCUACUCGGGAGGCUGAGGCUGGAGAAUUGCUUGAACCCGGGGGUGGAGGUUGCAGUGAGCCGAGAUUCUGCCAUUGCACUCCAGCCUGGGCAACAAGAGCAAAAAAAAUUCCAUCUCGAAAAAAAAUGAUAAAACAGAAUCAUAAAGUGUGGAUCCCUGAUGCAUCUUUGAACAACAGUCUAUGCUCAGACUGCUUAUGUGAGAAAAAUAAAAUGUAUUUUUCUUGGCUGGGCAUGGUGGCCUACACCUGUAUUCCCAGAACUUUGAGAGGCUAAGGAGGGCAGAUCACUUGAGGACAGGAGUUAGAGACCGGCCUGGCCAACGUAAUGAAACCCAUCUCUACUAAAAAUACAAAAAUUAGGCUGGGCGCAAUGGCUCACGCCUGUACUCCCAGCACUUUGGGAGGGGGAGGUGGGCAGAACACAAGGUCAGGAGUUCAAGACCAGCCUGGCCAACGUAGUGAAGCCUCGUCUCUACUAAAAAUACAAAAAUUAGCCGGGUUUGAUGGCGCAUGCCUAUAGUCCCAACUACUUGGGAGGCUGAGGCAAGAGAAUUGCUUGAACCCAGGAGGCAGAAGUUGCAGUGAGCCAAGAUCGCACCAGUGCACUCCAGCCUCGGCGACAGAGCAAGACUCCGUCUCAAAAAAAAAAAAAAGCCGGUUGUGGUGGAGGGCACCUGUAAUCCCAGCCACUCAGAAGGCUGAGGCAGGAGAAUCCCUUGAACCCGGGAGGCAGAGGUUGCAGUGAGCUGCAGUUGCCACUGCACUCCAGCCUGGAUGACAGAGCAAGACUCCUCAAAAAAGUUCUUUUUCUUUAAGCCAUUCUUCAGAUUUUCGUUACUUGUAACCAAACACAUUUCUAACUACUGAUUACAGAUACUCUUUUUUUUUUUUUUUUUUUUUUUUGAGUCUCGCUUUUUUUGCCCAGGCUGGAGUGCAGUGGAGUGAUCUCCGCUCACUGCCAGCUCCGCCUCCCGGGUUCAGGCCAUUCUCCUGCCUCAGCCUCCUGAGUAGCUGGGACUACAGGUGCCACCACCACACCUGUCUACUUUUUUGUAUUUUUAGUAGAGAUGGGGUUUCUCCAUGUUGGUCAGGCUGGUCUCGAACUCCCACCCUCAGGUGAUCCGCCCGCCUCGGCCUCCUAAAGUGCUGUGAUUACAGGCGUGAGCCACCGCGCCCGGCCAAGUGUGUAUAACUGUUGAUCAACAUUUUGAAGACCAGUUAUGACAGUUAAAUUAUUUGCCACAACUCAAAUGAACAGCAGAGCACUUUAUCACAAACUAACAUUCACCCUGGAAUGUACUGUACAGUCAACCUAUUCUGUCUCCUUCCAUCUCUCCAUUCCUAUGCCUUUCAUCUUUUUAUUUUAUUUUAAUUUUUUUUUGAGAUGGAGUCUUGCUCUGCUGCCCAGGGUGGAGUGCAGUGGCGCAAUCUCGGCUCACUGCAAGCUCUGCCUCCUGGGUUCAAGCGAUUCACCUGCCUCAGCCUCCUAAAUAGCUGGGAUUACAGAUGUGUGCCAUCACAUUGGGCUAAUAUUUAUAUUUUUAGUAGAGACAGGGAUCUUACUAUGUUGCCCAGGCUGUUCUUGAACUCGGUCUCAAGUGAUCCACCCACCUCAGCCUCCCAAAGUGAUGGGAUUACAGGUAUGAGCCACCAGCCCUGGCCUAAAUUUAAAAAAAAGGGUAUUCCUAUGUUGCCCAGACUGGUCUCGAACUCCUGAGCUCCAGCAAUCCUCCCACCUGCCAAAGUGCUAGGAUUACAGUUGAGCCACUGCACCCCACAGAGAUCUCACUGUGUUGCCCAGGCUGCAGUGCAGUGACAAUUCAUAGGCCCAGCAUGCUUUGAACGGCAUGCUUUGAGGUGAUCCUCCUGCCUCAGCCUCCCAAGUAGCUGGGACUACAGGCAUAUUCCACCACUUUCCUGGCUCAAGGAAUCCUCCUGCCUCAGCCUCCUGGGUAGCUGGGAGGACAAGUGUGUGUCACCACACCUGGACAACUGGGGGUGUAUUUGUAUCUUAUGGGAUGGAUAUUUGGUGAUUUGUUAUGAGCAAAUUGAUACCCUUCUGUUUGUGGAGAUUCUCUUGAAUCCUUUUUUCCAUACACUCCAUUUUCUUCUGUUUGGAACUCAUGUUUACUUAUGGAGUGGUCCUCAAAUUUUUAAAAGUUUAUAUUUUGCAUCUUUUUCUCUUUUCCCUCUAUUUUUGGGAGAUUUAAAUUUCUUUUUUUUUCUUUUUGAGGAGUCUCGCUGUCGCCCAGGCUGGAGUGCAGUGGCGCCGUCUCAGCUCACUGCAAGCUCCGCCUCCCGGGUUCACGCCAUUCUCCUGCGUCAGCCUCCCAAGUAGCUGGGACUACAGGUGCCCACCACCAUGCCCGGCUAAUUUCUUUGUAUUUUUAGUAGAGACAGGGUUUCACAGUGUUAGCCAGGAUGGUCUCCAUCUCCUGACCUCGUGAUCCGCCCGCCUUGGCCUCCCAAAGCGCUGGGAUUACACACGUGAGCCACCGCACCUGCCUCUGCAACUCAUUUUUUAUUUCUGCUAUUCUCUAAUUUCCAAAAUUCUGUUCUCUUGAUAUACCUUUACUGUGGUAUUGUUUUUCUUGGUUGCAGAAAGCUCUCAACUUUUCUAAGGGUACUGGUGAUUGAUAUUUUUGUUUACUUUUGCCUGUGCAGUCUGUUUUCAACUUGCCCGUUUCCAUUUUAAAAUUCAUAUUGAGACUGCCCUUAGAUGUCUGAUAAUCCUUAGUUGUCCAUUUACACACCCAUUAUAUAAAAUGUAUAGGGAAGGCCAGGCACGGUGGCUCACGCCUAUAAUCCCAGCACUUUGGGAGGCUGAGGUGGGUGGAUCACCUGAGGUCAGGAGUUUGAGACCAGCCUGUCUAAACAUGGCAAAACCCCAUCUUUAGUAAAAGCACAAACAGCUGGUUGCGUUGAUGCGUGCCUGCAGCCCCAGCUUCUCUGGAGGCUGAGGCUGGAGAAUCGCUUGAAUCCGGGAGGCGGAGGUAGUAGUGAGCCGAGAUCACGCCACUGCACUCCAGCCUGAGCAACAGAGCAAGAUUCUAUCACCCCCACCCCCCACCCCGCAAAAAAAAAAAUCAAUCUAUAUCUGAGAGAGAGUGUCUCACUCUGGCUGGAGUGCAGUGGCACAAUCUCAGCUCACAGCAACCUCUCCUUCCCAAAUUCAAGAGAUUCUCCUGGCUCAGCCUCCCAAGCAGCUGGAACUACAGGCACGUGCCACCACACUUGGCUAAUUUUUGUAUUUUUUUGUAGAGACAGGGUUUCACUGUGUUGGCCAGGCAGGUCUGGGACUCUUGGCCUCAAGUGAUCCGCCCACCUUGGCCUCCCAAAGGGCAGGGAUUACAGGUGUGAGCUACCAAGCCUGGCUCCACUCACCCUUUUGAGAAGGCUCAUGGCUACUUAGUUUACUUACAUUUUUUAAGAAUACAAUUAGUAUUUGUACCAGGUUACAUCUGUGUUCUCAUUCCAAGGCUAAUGUUUAUUCUUUGUUACAUUUAGAUGCUAAGUAGAGUUAGACAAGAAGUGCCCUCUAAUCCCAAAUAAAGGUAAAAUGAGUCAAAAUGCCACAGGAGGAAUUUGUUUCUUGAGAACAAAAGGUAUCUUAGGAACAUGUUCAUUUUACACAACUGCUGCAUUUACUAGGAACAAUAACCUUAGAAAUCUUGUUUGUAAAUCAAGGGGUCCAACUUCAUUUAAAAUGUUACUUGAUGCUUAAACACAAAUACCCACUAUCAUUAAUAUAGGAAUAAAUGAG
rnacentral:lncRNA from 1 species